AGAAAGCCGAAAACAUUUGUACUGUUGACAGUAUACAUAUAUUAACUUACUGUGUUGUAGUGAUUGUUUUGACAAAUGCAAGUAAAAUAUUUUAAUUUUUGUCAUUUCAUGUUGGUAAUGGCCAAAGAUAGAUAGAAGGAAAAUGUCCAAACAAGCCGUUUAAUCAUCUGUUCCCCGAAACCUUCUUUCCACAUAAGUACCUACCUGCGUUCGGUACUUAUACAUUUCUAACCCCUCACUGCGACAACCUGCACCUGAACAUGCCUCCGAACCCCCACUUUUCUUCUACAACCCGGUGAAAGUUAAACGAAGUCGAACUUAUCAGUUAUCACUACAAUUUGUGUUGUCUUGUGACCAUCCUGGUGUCCAGAGUCUUGAGAUUGUUUCACCAAAAGGUGUAGAAAUCAUUACUCUCCAAGUAACGAGUAUUAGUUGUUUAUUAAUUUUCGGGUACUUCUCAUAAUGUCCAUUUGCUCUAAUUCAAGGUCGGGUGAGACCCGAAUGGGUACAUGUUUAAAAUUAGACAAAACGGAACUCAAAAGUAUAAAGGUGGCGAUUGUGCGAAGAAAUAUAAGUGAACCAAAUACGAAUAUGUCUGAAGCUUUAGUGCGAAUGUUGGAAGAUCCGUCACAAUUAGUUGUUCAUUAUAGGCCAGAUGAGGGAAUUCGACCAAUUUUUGAUCGUGGUAACAUUAUUGUCAAUACACAAAGGCAAGAAGAGCGGAUGGUCGUAACCUCUUCAGAAGGAAAUAACAAGGGUUUAUCCCAUCGAGCUAGUUCUGGUAGUAUUGAGGCACACACGUCCAGAGACCACUCCAAAGAAGAGUACAGGAGGAGCAGUGAACAUUAUUCUUCCAAAUCCCGGCGAAGUAAGUCGAAUUCCGGCAACACACCUCCUCGAUACCAUCGGAGGUCUCCGGAGCCACAUAAAAGCCGCGAACGGUCACCCAGAGGUUCUCGUCACAGGUACAGUCGAUCUCCGUCUAGUUACAAAACAGCCUCUUCGAAAAAAUUAAGGAGUCAGCACCGCUCAAGAACGCCUCCACCGAGAAGUAGCAGCAGAGGCCGGAGUCGAAGCUAUUCGCCCCACUAUAGAUCUAGACGCAGUAGAUCGCCCUAUCGCCGCGAAAGAUCCAGAAGAAGCAGAUCGAGAAGUAGUCGACGAUAUGACGAAGACAGGUCUGAAAGGCGCGAAAAGCACGAACCUCCGCGAAUAGCAAAUCCAUAUUUUGGGGGUGCAGAAUUUUGUUUUCAUAAUCCCAUGCUUUAUCACAUGAUGCCACCUGGACCAUUUCCGUACCCAUUUAGACCAGGAAUUCCACCCAUGAUUCCAUCAAUAAUGCCGUUUAGGCCUAGAAUAGGUUAUAAUGGUAGGCCGCCUAGGCCUAGAACUACCCCGACGACGAGUGCGGCAGUUGGAAGUAGUUCUGUUGUUACGACGACGACUACAGAGGAAACAACGAACAGUGUAAAUGAUUAAGAUUUUCAUCAAGGGAAAGAGAGGAGUUGAAGCGAUUUCAAAGUUAACUAGAUGAAAAUCAUUUUGAAACACCCUUUAUAAACACAGAUAUUGUAUAAGUGCCAAUAAAAUGGCCAGCAGUCAGUCAGCUUUUGGGGAUGGUCCCGCCAAGCUCCCUAAGGAGAUCUUAGAGCAAGUUCAGAAAGAGCGGUUAGUUAAUAAGGGUUGAAUCUCCAUAUAUUCCUGGAAUAUAUGGAAUUCCAAUUGUUAGUGAUAUAUCGUCCAGCAUUAUGACCAAACGUGUAGAUAUUGCAAAGUUCGGUUGCAUCAUAGACGGGGCCAAAAAAAUAUCGGACCAGCUGGAGUUACCGUACUUAUAAUCAGAGAAGAUCUUUUAGGAAACCCAAUGAAGAAGGUCACAGAUCAGUUGGAUGAAUGAGGGCAUCCUUGUAUAAUGCAGUAACUAGGUUUUAGAGGAAAUUGAGAAAGAGCUCUUAUCUUUCAGAGAAAGCGGCAUGAGUUUAAUGGAAAUGAUCCAACGUUCUAAAGAAUGCUCA